UGUAUAUAUAUAUAUGUGUAUAUAUAUAAUGUGUGUGUAUAUAUAUGUAUAUAUAUAUGUGUAUGUAUGUUAUAUAUAUGUAUGUUGUAUGUAUGUAUGUAUGUUGUAUGUAUGUUAUAUGUAUAAUAUAUAUACAGUAUAUAAUAUAUAGAUAGAUAGACAGAUGGAUGGAUGCAUGGAUGGAUAGAUAGAUAGAAUUACUUUAAUGAUCCCAGACUGGGAGAUUAUUUAAAAUAAUAUAAUAUAAUUAUUUAUAAUAUAUAUAUUAUAUGUAUAUCUACACAUAUAUGUAUAAUACACUACUCACAAUAAGUUAGGGAUAUUGUUAUUUACAUUUUUCAUAGGGAUUACAUGCGGUUCAGAAUGAUCACCCUUGGCAAAAAUGACUGGGGGAGACUCAGAUGGAUAGGAUUAACGAUGGACCAUCCAGUACAACAAGACAAGUGUAGCUGUGGGGUCAUCGUUAUGAAGAUGGCAAAGGCAGUAAUGGAGGCAUAUCCGGCGUUACCUGCCAUGUCCUUUGGCACCUCCAUGAAGGAGAUGGCGUCGGAAAGGACAAAGUUUGCCCUGGCAUUACUCAGUGACUCAGUGUUGGACCUGGAUAAUCACUGUGUGAUGUGCUGUGCUUCAAAGCCCCCUGUAUCAGGACCUCCAGUGACUCGUUGGAUACAGUGUGACACCUGCGAAAGGUGGUAUCACAAGGAAUGCCUGGAUUUGGAGGAAGAGAAACUCCUAAAAGCAAGGGCAGGCAACUGGAACUGCGACCUUUGCAAAUAA
rnacentral:lncRNA from 1 species